GGGAAAUUAGCUCAGUUGGCUAGAGCGCACGAUUCACAUUCGUGAGGUCACAGGUUCGAGCCCUGUAUUUCCCACCA
rnacentral:tRNA from 8 species